UUGACAGCAGAGAAGAUUGAAAUUCUCAAUUUAUCCACUGAACAAGUACCAUGCAGCUGAGGUAAUAAUCCUUCCGUAUUCCUCAGCCCUGACCAGGAGUGACCAGACAGAGGUUGGAGCUUCAUUUCCAUUCAAUCCUUGGCCUUU
ensembl:misc_RNA